rnacentral:misc_RNA from 1 species
GAAAUGCGAUAAGUAAUGUGAAUUGCAGAAUUCAGUGAAUCAUCGAAUCUUUGAACGCACAUUGCGCCCGCCAGUAUUCUGGCGGGCAUGCCUGUCCGAGCGUCAUUUCAACCAUCAAGCCCCCGGGCUUGUGUUGGGGACCUGCGGCUGCCCGCAGGCCCUGAAAACCAGUGGCGGGCUCGCUGUCACACCGAGCGUAGUAGCAAUCACCUCGCUCAGGGCGUGCUGCGGGUUCCGGCCGUUAAACAGCCUUACAAAACUCAAGGUUGACCUCGGAUCAGGUAGGAAGACCCGCUGAACUUAAGC